UACGUAGGGGGCAAGCGUUGUCCGGAUUCAUUGGGCGUAAAGAGCGUGUAGGCGGCCAGGUAGGUCGGUUGUGAAAACUGGAGGCUCAACCUUCAGAGGUCGACCGAAACCAUCUGGCUAGAGUCCGGGAGAGGAGAGUGGAAUUCCUGGUGUAGCGGUGAAAUGCGUAGAUAUCUGGAGGAACACCGGUGGCGAAGGCGGCAUUCUGGACCAUUACUGACGCUGAGGAGCGAAAGCCAGGGGAGCAAACGGG
rnacentral:rRNA from 1 species